rnacentral:lncRNA from 1 species
CCUUUUAGGGAGAAUUGGGAGCCCCGGGUCCUCCUGGAGUUCAUGGACUCAUUGGAGAUAUGGGCGCUCUUGGACCAAUAGGGUAUCCAGGACCAAAGGGACUAAAGGGGCUGAUGGGAAACCCUGGAGAACAUGGACUGAAAGGUGAUAAGGGUGAUCAGGGACUGCCAGGUGUUCCAGGAGAUAUUGGAUUCCAAGGAGACAAGGUAAUUGCUUUCAGUUUUUCUUCUUACAUAGAUAACAUGUG